rnacentral:rRNA from 1 species
AUACGGAGGGUGCAAGCGUUGUUCGGAAUUAUUGGGCGUAAAGCGCGUGUAGGCGGCUUCUUAAGUCUGAUGUGAAAGCCCCGGGCUCAACCUGGGAAGUGCAUUGGAAACUGGGGGACUUGAGUACGGGAGAGGGUAGUGGAAUUUCGAGUGUAGGGGUGAAAUCCGUAGAUAUUCGAAGGAACACCGGUGGCGAAGGCGGCUACCUGGACCGAUACUGACGCUGAGACGCGAAAGCGUGGGGAGC